UGGCUAUUUUGUGGCUUCUUAGUUUAAACUAAAAAAAUUUGGCAGCCGAUGAUACUCUUCCGGGGGAGCGUGUGACGUAAGAGAUGAUCCGCUUAAGUCUUUACCACUUCUAUUUUAGGUUAGUGUACGUCCGGUUUUAUACCUUUGAUUAAUAUCUUUAGGUGAAUUUCGGUUGAUUAAGGCCAGGUCAAUGUGCUGCUAAUGGGGUGGUGUUCGUUCGCUACUUUAAUAAAAUACAGUGCGAUGAAGAUUGCAUGUGAAUUGAGGACUCGGAAGUAGGUGUAAUUGGUGGUAGAUGCAUCGAAGGUUUGAUUUAGUCGGGGUACACACCGCCCGUCAACCGGAACGAUUAGUUCUGGUAAGUCGUAACAUGGUAACGCUGGGGGAACCGAGCGUUA
rnacentral:ncRNA from 1 species